AGUGAACGCUGGCGGCAGGCCUAACACAUGCAAGUCGAGCGGCAGCGCGUCCGACCACCCUCGGGUGGUCGGAUGGCGGCGAGCGGCGGACGGGUGAGGAAUGCAUCGGAAUCUGCCUCGUUGUGGGGGAUAACGUAGGGAAACUUACGCUAAUACCGCAUACGACCUACGGGUGAAAGUGGGGGACCUUCGGGCCUCACGCGAUGAGAUGAGCCGAUGCCGGAUUAGCUAGUUGGCGGGGUAAAGGCCCACCAAGGCGACGAUCCGUAGCUGGUCUGAGAGGAUGAUCAGCCACACUGGAACUGAGACACGGUCCAGACUCCUACGGGAGGCAGCAGUGGGGAAUAUUGGACAAUGGGGGCAACCCUGAUCCAGCCAUGCCGCGUGUGUGAAGAAGGCCUCGGUUGUAAGCACUUUAGUUGGG
rnacentral:rRNA from 1 species